rnacentral:rRNA from 1 species
GGAUGAACGCUGGCGGCGUGCCUAACACAUGCAAGUCGAGCGAAGCGCUUAAAUUAGAUUUCUUCGGAAUGACGAUUUUUGUGACUGAGCGGCGGACGGGUGAGUAACGCGUGGGUAACCUGCCUCAUACAGGGGGAUAACAGUUAGAAAUGACUGCUAAUACCGCAUAAGACCCCAGCUUCGCAUGAAGCGGUGGUAAAAACUCCGGUGGUAUGAGAUGGACCCGCGUCUGAUUAGCUAGUUGGUAAGGUAACGGCUUACCAAGGCGACGAUCAGUAGCCGACCUGAGAGGGUGACCGGCCACAUUGGGACUGAGACACGGCCCAGACUCCCACGGGAGGCAGCAGUGGGGAAUAUUGCACAAUGGGGGAAACCCUGAUGCAGCGACGCCGCGUGAAGGAUGAAGUAUUUCGGUAUGUAAACUUCUAUCAGCAGGGAAGAAAGUGACGGUACCUGACGAAGAAGCCCCGGCUAACUACGUG